GAAACACACGGCACGUCAUGUCAAGUCAUAUUGUGAUCAUGGAGCACAAAACCAGUCAUAAGAGUAAAUUGUUUGUUAGGAUCGGACAAUAUUUGGCUGAGAUACAACUAUUUGAAAAUAGCUAAAAAACAUCUAAAUAUUGAGAAUAUAUAUUGUAUGGUUUGUUGGACAAUAUUUGGCUGCGAUACAACUAUUUGAAAAUCUGGAAUCUGAGGGUGCAAAAAAAUCUAAAUAUUGAGAAAAUCACCUUUAAAGUUGUUCAAAUGAAGUUCUUAGCAAUGCAUAUUACUAAUCAAAAAUGAAGUUGAUAUAUUUACGGUAGGACAUUUACUAAAUAUCUUCAUGGAACAUGAUCUGUACUUAAUAUCCUAAUGAUUUUUGGCAUAAAAGAAAAAUGUAUAAUUUUGACCCAUACAAUGUAUUGUUGGCUAUUGCUACAAAUAUACCUGUGCUGCUUAUGACUGCUUCUGUGCUGCAGGGACACAAUUUAUUUGUAUAGCGCUCAUCACAACAGAGAUUACUCACAAAUUGUAGUCUGUUACUGAUUCCAAAUGACACGACAGAAAUUGUAGUUAAUAACGUAAUCAUUCGUAAACAUUACACAUUUCAGGUGAUAAAAUAACCUCUCCCUGUCUAGCCAGUAUUUACUCUGAACAAUGCCUGAAACUGUAUUGCAAGCACUUCCUGUGUCUAUUUGCCUCUUUAUCAUGAAUCGCUUAUUGUAUUCCUCAAUUGUAAGUCUCUGUGGAUAAAAGCGUCUGCUAAAUGAAUAAAUGUAAAUGUAAAAUCAUACUACUUUUUGAUUACUUUUAGAUUAAUUUUGACCUAAUUUGUUUAUCACAUUAAUUUAAAUAACACAAUCUUGUACCUAGGGCCCUAUGAUUUCUGUGAUGCAGAAAAUGCAGACAGAAUCACGGAAUCCAAUCAUAAAAACGGAAUUACUGUAUCACGCGGAAUGUCACAGAAUUUGCCAAAUUUGGAUGAAUACAUCAAAAGUAGGUCAGUACACGUAAAUCAAAACACAGUAUGGACUGCUGUAUGUGAAUAUUAAGCCGCAAAAAUACCAUUGAAAUAUGAAUCCUGCGUGUUUUGCGUGUCUUUGUGAAUGAAGCGUGCGGUUGCGUUUACUACACAUACUGAAGCGUUUUCUGCCUCUGCCGUCUCAAUAUAUGAACACAUGAACAUGAUCUCUAGAGCUGCUCUGAGAGUCACUUCACGAGCAUUUCACCGUUUCUUUUGAGUAAAAAUAUCUUUAUAUCAUAAACAAACAGAAAUCUAAAGGUCUUCAUAGCAACCUGUCAAAACAAAAGUUUGGUUUAACUUGAAGAAACCGUGACAGAAAUAUUACUUAAUGUAAUGAUAGUACUACUACUGCUAUUUCUGGAUUUUAUUAUUAUUUUUUUAAAUAAAAUCAAUCAAUUAGAGAUGCUUUUAAUUAUUAAUAUUGAAUGAAACCAUUAAAAUGGAAUCCAGAAAAUUAAUGGAAAACAGAAUUUGAUAAACAAAACAUAUUUCAUAGGGCCGUAAAAAUAAAUUUUUUGAUGAACUUAAAAAAAAAGGCUGUUUAAUAUGGUAAGUUUCAUGAUUUAAAUUAAUUAGACGUGCUUUUUGAUGAAUAAAAUUUAAUUUAACCGUUAAAACAGAGUCUAGAAAAACAAAACCGAAAAAAAAAAAAAAAUGGAAUCCAGACAAAAUUAUGGAAAAAAAAUGGAACGGAAUUUGGGAAAGAAUAAAACAGAUAUCAUAGGGCCCUAUGCAGCAUAUUGAUAUAAAAAUACACAGAGAGAAAGAGAUUACAUUUCAAAAAAUGUACCUGCGUGUCAUGUGACCAUGUGAAUAAUGUGCAAUCCAGCGUUGGUUACUUUUUAAAGUAAUGCAUUACAGUAUUGUGUUACUCAGUUACUUUUCUGGAAAGUAAUUACGUUACUUUAGCGUUACUUUUUGUCACCUGAGCUGGGCUUGCUUAUUUGUUUUUUAAUAACAAAAAACCCCCAAAUCAUUAAUUUUUUGGCAACUGUAAAGGCCCUUUCACACCAAAAGUGAAAUGAAUAAUCCUCGGGCUGAAGGAAGAGCCUCUGCACUUACUCCCGAUUUCUCUCAACAUGGGAGCAGGAGAGCUGUCAGUCAAUAAAUGAGAAAACAAAGUACCUUAAAAAAUUAACUCAGAUAUUUUAUUGAAAAUGUAAAAGUGUCACAAUCUCUAGCUGGAGUGCUCGUGAGCUUCACUAGAGGGCACUCCAUUCCCAUAAUCCUUUGCCCGGAAUCAUCAGCGCUCACCAAUUGCAGUCACCUGUCUCUCAUCACAGUCACACACACUAUAAGAAUGACACACACACACACACUCUUACACCACUGAUGAUUGAUAGCCUGUAAUGUUUCCGAGUUUCCUUGCCUUCGUGUUUUUGAUCUUGGACUGUUUUCUUGUGUUUGAUUGUUUGCUGCCUGCCCUGAGCAUCGCCUGUUUAUUGGAUUACUCUUUUGGAUUUGCCUUGGAUAUUACUGUUUUGCUGGUGUUUGACCCUGACUACAAUCUUAAUAAAGCUGCAUCCUCCACUUCGUUGUCACGACGCCUUCUACAUCACAAAAAGAGACACAGGAUGAAUCUCGAAGCUUCUGAAGCCCUGACUGACAUCUAAAACAGACACACAUCAGUCUUCACCUGGAAGUGAGGGCUGGACACACACUUGGCCAGCUGACGGAAGAGCGGCUCCAUGACCUUCACGAACUCGGACGGCUCGAUCACGUCCAGGAUCUCCUCCAGCUCGUUGAGGAACAUCACCUCCUUCGGACUGAACUGAACCACACAAUACGCCAGCUGGAGCGAGACGAGACACGGUUAGCGACACUAAACCAGCGCUCGUCAGUGUGAGUUAACGGCGGUUAGCAUGCGACUGACCUGCGGGUGAUAGACGCUCAGAGACUUCACCUUGUGCAGCGGCAGUAAAACCUUCAGCAGGAAGAUCUUGUGCUCCUCUUUUAAUGGCAAAGCAAAGCCGUUGAUGAUGCUGUCGGACAGAAGAAACACAGCUAUCAGAAAUCAGAAGAUUUCCCAGCAUGCACAGGGACCGUUGAUGCUUUACCUUCCCAGGAUCUCCAGUAAUUCAGCGAUUCCGUUGUGAUGCUCCGUCUCAUAAAUAAACCUGCAAACACACACAAAAUGACAUUUACAUAUAAACCUGCUAAAUUCCUAAACACUGAAGCCUUUUUCCAGCUACACUGCAAAAAAUGAUCUUUUUAGUAUUUUUGUCUUGUUUUCUAGUAUAAAUAUCUACACAUUCUGGAAUUAAGAUGCGUUUACUU